AGAGUUUGAUCAUGGCUCAGAUUGAACGCUGGCGGCAGGCUUAACACAUGCAAGUCGAGCGGAAACGAGAAGUGCUUGCACUUCGGCGUCGAGCGGCGGACGGGUGAGUAAUGCUUGGGAAUAUGCCUUAUGGUGGGGGACAACAGUUGGAAACGACUGCUAAUACCGCAUAACGUCUACGGACCAAAGGGGGGGAUCUUCGGACCUCUCGCCAUUUGAUUAGCCCAAGUGAGAUUAGCUAGUUGGUAAGGUAAAGGCUUACCAAGGCGACGAUCUCUAGCUGGUUUGAGAGGAUGAUCAGCCACACUGGGACUGAGACACGGCCCAGACUCCUACGGGAGGCAGCAGUGGGGAAUAUUGCACAAUGGGCGCAAGCCUGAUGCAGCCAUGCCGCGUGUGUGAAGAAGGCCUUC
rnacentral:rRNA from 1 species